rnacentral:tRNA from 1 species
UCUCUGGUAGUAUAUCGGACAGUACACCCGCCUGUCACGCGGGAAAGCGGGGUUCGACUCCCCGCCAGAGAG